CUCGGCUCACUGCAAGCUCCACCUCCCGGAUUCAUGCCAUUCUCCUGCCUCAGCCUCCCGAGUAGCUGGGACUACAGGCGCGUGCCACCACGCCGGGCUAAUUUUUUGUAUUUUUUAGUAGAGAUGGGGUUUCACCGUGUUAGCCAGGAUGGUCUCGAUCUCCUGACCUCGUGAUCCACCCGCCUCGGCCUCCCAAAGUGCUGGGAUUACAGGCUUGAGCCACCGCGCCCGGCCUGCUAUGUUGUUUUUUAAUCUGUAAGUUUCUCCUUCAUCUUCUUUUUGUUUUGGUUUUGCAUUUUGUUCGAUUACGGAACUGUAGAACAGUGGUUCUUAAACUUAAGUGUGGAUUAGAAUCAUCUGGAGAGCUUGGAGGCCGAAGCGCGCGGAUCACGAGGUCAGGAGUUCGAGACCAGCCUGGCCAACAUGGCGAAACCCCGUCUCUACUAAAAAUACAAAAAUUAGCCGGGCGUGGUGGCGGGCGCCUGUAAUCCCAGCUACUCGGGAGGCUGAGGCAGGAGAAUUGCUGGAACCCGGGAGGCGGAGGUUGCAGUGAGCCGAGAUCUUGCCACUGCACUCCAGCCUGGGCGACAGGGCGAGACUCCGUCUCGAAAAAAAAAAAGAAAGAAAGAAAUAACUGUUACUUCAAUCUGUCUGCCCGGUAUUUUGCAUAUUGAUGUGUUGUCGAAACAACUUAUGGGUCUAAAGGUCAGGUCUUCUGACUCCUAAACUAGUGCUCCUUCUUGUUUACUUAGCAGACACUAUCCUUUUCCCAUUCCAUUUUUCUUUCCUUUGGGUUAAUCCUGACCAAUAUUUAGGACUUAGGUGAGAGGUAACAUCCACAGUAGGUUUUACCUGAUCUCCUCUUUCUCUCCCCUUCAAUAUUUCCGUAUCCUGCCUCAGUAGUUAUGUGUUUAUUCUGACAUAACAAUUAUUAAAGAUGUUUUUCUGCUGAUGUCUCUCCCCAACUGGACUGUGAGGGUGAUGGGGUCAGGAC
rnacentral:lncRNA from 10 species